ensembl:lncRNA
AGAAAUCCUAAGUAGAUCCUUGGACACUAAUUACAGGGAAUGUGUGUGGUGGUAAAUCAGAAAAAAAUAAGAAAAAAACAUGCAGCACAAGGAAAAAGAUAAGUUUUGAAAAUCUCUACGAAAUGGGCACACAACCUUAGCAAAUCUUGCAGUGGUUAUUUGUAUGUGAACACAGUGGGAAGAAGAGUACCAAUAGGCUAAUUUGCAUUAUGCCGUUGCUUAAAAGCAAAUCCUAUUAUCACUUAUCACAAUUGCAGAAUGAAGCAUCUUUUUGAAGGAUGGAAUUCAAAACAGAGCUGAAGAGCUACAGUGAUGGUGAUGCUGGUGGUGGUGGAGAGUACUGACAGCUUUAAAUAUAUUAAAUUGGAAUGAUCUAUAUAUUCUGGAAAUAUAGUAAUGGUUGAAGUAAGAAACAGUUACUGGAAUCUGUGGGACACACUAAAUAACAGUGUAUACUAAUGUAUCAAUACAUUAUGACAGUUCCUCUUUAAAAAUCAAACUAUAUCUCAGUCUCAUUCUGAUACCUCUUAUCAUCUAGAAUUAAGCUGAAUUACAGUCAUUGCCUAGGAUGAAUACAGAUAUAUAGGGUCUUUUAACAUUACCAUUUAUUAAUAUUGAUCAGUCUUUGGAGAAGCUUCAGUCAUACAUUGAAAGAGCUGAGUUCUUUCUUUCUUCAGAGAUCUGGCAGAAAUUCUUUCCUGUAUUUCCUGCAGGUCAGUGCAUAUCCAAAGCCCAUAUUUAUGUCUUCUUAUCCCUGCAUUGCCCUAAAAUUCACUAGCUGAAGCUUUAAAAACUUACCUUAAGGAUAUGGGUGCCCAGCUCUCAUUAAUUUUAAUUCAAUUAAUUAAUUUGGUUACUCAUUUCCCAUUAAUUUACAUUAAUUUUAAUGGGAAUUGGGCAUCCAACUCCCAUAGGCAGGUUUAAAAAUAUCAGCCAGAAGAUAAUGAAUAUCCAAGGGAAAAGAAUUUCAAAGCAAGUUGGAACUUCUCAGCUGUAAAAGUUAUCCUGUUAAAGUGUCAUUUUAUUGCUUUGUGUUGUCAGCGGUCACAGUGGUGAUCUCCCAGAAAAGCCAAGGCUCUGACAGUUCUUCAAAAGCCAGUCAGCACCUGCAACUGUGUCUGAAGGAAGCAAGAAAAUACUAUGAGCCUAAUCUUGCUGCUCAGUGCUAAAAUACAGCAGCUUGAUGCAUCUAAAGGUCAGAGAGCUGUGCUGUACUGGGAGCGCUGGCAUACAGAUUGCAUUGCUACAGUAUUAGAUUAUGCUAGCGUCAAUGAAAGAUACCAUCAGCAUACAAUGUGGAUGCAGCAUCCACGUUAGAUGGGAAUAACUGAGUAUUUUAGAACAGCCUCAAUAAUCUCAGGGUAAGGCUGGCAAUACAGGGUGCCCCCACAGGUUUCUCCAUGCUCACAGCUUCUGCAGGUAGUUGGAGAACAGCCACACCAUCACCUGGGUUGGACAGACAAUUGCCCAAGCAUGUCCCAACAAAUAGCAUGUGUGCCUCCUCCAACCUCUGCCAGUGCUCAGCCUGAUCUCUCAUUUUUUUUCCCUCUUGUAACAUGUGCUUAUAACUUUUACCUUGUCCCUUACAAGUGUUUAGAUUUUUGUGUUUCUUUCCUAGACAAAAAUUAGAUUUAUCUUGUGUACAAAGGUACUUUCCUUUAAAACGUAGAGGUGAACUACCUUAACCUAUGUGCAACUGUCUUCUAUGAGAAAAAUAAUAAGAAAAAUGUUUUUUAGCACUUUUCAUAUUACUCUAAUUUUAAUUAAAGGUGGUAUCAGAUACUGGAAAUGUAAAUUGCUUUGAUUUUGUUUUUCUGCUGCUAUGUCUCGUGUAUUGUGGGCAGGAUGGUGAUGGAUUGAUGUUUGG